CCGCAUCUGUGCAUGCAGCAUACCAAUAAGCGGAGGAAAAGAAACUAACAAGGAUUCCCUUAGUAACGGCGAGUGAAGCGGGAAGAGCUCAAAUUUGAAAUCUUCAAGGUUUUACCUUGACAAAUUGUAGUUUAAAGAAGUGUUUUCUGUUGAAGUUUUGGUAAAAGUUCUUUGGAAUAGGACAUCAUAGAGGGUGGGAAUCCCGUAUUUGACCAUUAUUUUCAGCUGUGUGAUACACUUUCAAAGAGUCGGAUUGUUUGGGAAUGCAGUCCAAAAUGGGUGGUAAAUUUCAUCUAAAGCUAAAUAUUGGCGAGAGACCGAUAGCGAACAAGUACCGUGAGGGAAAGAUGAAAAGAACUUUGAAAAGAGAGUUAAACAGUACGUGAAAUUGUCAAAAGGGAAGCGUUUGACACCAGUGUUGUUUUCUCGAAAAUCAAUUAAAAAGAGUUAGAUUUUGUUGUGUAUUGACCUUAACAGCUUGCAUUUCAAUUUUCUUGCUUUUUUUAAUGCACUUUUCGUUUAACAAGUCAACAUCAGUUUCUUUUGUUGUAAAAAGGUCAUUGGAAGGUGGCUUUCUUUUCGGAGGGAAAGUGUUUAUAGCCUUUGACUCCUGCAAUCGGAGAGACUGAGGUCUGCAGCGUAGAUCCUUCGGGGUUAGAUACAUUUGUGCUAAGGUUAUAGCUUUUUAUAGACAACUUGUUGACUAUGAUUAGUCUUGUAGCUUACUCGCUUAUGCUAUUUUACCUACGCUUAGGAUGUUGACACACGCGCGUGCUCG
rnacentral:rRNA from 1 species